GUGGGGAAUAUUGGACAAUGGGCGAAAGCCUGAUCCAGCCAUGCCGCGUGUGUGAAGAAGGUCUUCGGAUUGUAAAGCACUUUAAGUUGGGAGGAAGGGCAGUAAGUUAAUACCUUGCUGUUUUGACGUUACCGACAGAAUAAGCACCGGCUAACUUCGUGCCAGCAGCCGCGGUAAUACGAAGGGUGCAAGCGUUAAUCGGAAUUACUGGGCGUAAAGCGCGCGUAGGUGGUUUUGUAAGUUGGAGGUGAAAUCCCCGGGCUCAACCUGGGAACUGCAUCCAAAACUGCAUGACUAGAGUACGGUAGAGGGUAGUGGAAUUUCCUGUGUAGCGGUGAAAUGCGUAGAUAUAGGAAGGAACACCAGUGGCGAAGGCGACUACCUGGACUGAUACUGACACUGAGGUGCGAAAGCGUGGGGAGCAAACAGGAUUAGAUACCCUUGUAGUCC
rnacentral:rRNA from 1 species